rnacentral:pre_miRNA from 1 species
AAUUGCUAAAUGGUAAAUAUCUAGUGCAAGUCUACAGGUGAAUUUCUUUUUAGAUUGCACUAGUUAAUUAUCAUCAUACAAUUU